rnacentral:rRNA from 1 species
UGUGACAUAUACUGUUUAACGGCCGCGGUAUCCUGACCGUGCAAAGGUAGCGCAAUCACUUGUCUUUUAAAUGAAGACCUGUAUGAAUGGCAUAACGAGGGCUAAGCUGUCUCCUUUUUCCAGUCAAUGAAAUUGAUCUCCCCGUGCAGAAGCGGGGAUAACCACAUAAGACGAGAAGACCCUAUGGAGCUUUAGACACCAAACAGAUUUUGUAAAACCUCCCCCCUCAUACGGGGACGAACAAAAAAACACCUGUCCUAAUGUCUUUGGUUGGGGCGACCGCGGGGAAACAAAAAACCCCCACGUGGAACGGAGACACCUUCCCCUGAAAUAAGAGUUACAACUCUAACUAGCAGAACUUCUGACCUUAUGAUCCGGCACACGCCGAUCAACGAACCGAGUUACCCUAGGGAUAACAGCGCAAUCCUCUUUUAGAGCCCAUAUCGACAAGAGGGUUUACGACCUCGAUGUUGGAUCAGGACAUCCUAAUGGUGCAGCCGCUAUUAAGGGUUCGUUUGUUCAACGAUUAAAGUCCUACGUGAUCUGAGUUCAGACCGGACC